ensembl:lncRNA
CCCCCAUCCUCCAUCCCAACCCCUGAAGGAGACCAGCACGGCCCGCAUGCCUCCACAGCGUCAUCCUGCCCCCGGCAGCAGACAGUGCGUGUUUGACGGAUCCGUUAGUGGACGUUGGCUCUGAUUGUCCAGACGAACACAUUCUUGCACUUUUUUUUAUCCUCUAGCAACCACUUAGGGUUUCUAUUUUUGUAGUACGGAUGAUAGGCAUUAAAAAACAGAAGGUUGUUGCCGGAGAGAAAGGAGGUGAAGGCAGGAAGAUUCACAGCAGCUCUGCCUUUCUAGAGAGAAAUGGACAGAUAACGUGCGAGUGCUUCAUCAGCCGUUCACAGCCGAGCUGUCGGCAUUCUGCUACAUUCGCCGAGAAUAAAAUGUCCUGUGAAAAGUCUGUUUGGAGGUAAAUUCCUGUGAAGUGCAGUGACCUGAAGCCCUGUUUGACUCUUUGCACUUCGUGACCUUCGCAGUUACUGUGUCGGUGUCUUGGACAGUGUAAAGGAAGUGGGUGUAGUCACCGGGAUGUGCCCGGAACAUUUGGGAAUUUUGGCCGUCGCCAUCUUCUUUUGGAGCUCGAAGUGAGCACAUUUGGACGAGAGGGCGUCAGGGUCAUCAAUCACCCCACAUCAAUCAAUAGUUAUUAUUAUUAUUAGUUAUUUACUAAACGAACGUCAUGCUGUAGUGAAGAAGACUUUGAAACAGGGCUGGAGAUCAUAAAAUAAUGUUUGAAAUGUUGGAAUCAAUCAGCUGGGACGUCAUUUUCUCAUAGACUUCUAUGCAAUCCAAACGGAUGUGACAUCCGAAAGCAGUCGCUCUGUUGGACAUAAGAAAGAAUGAAAGUUUGAGGCACUUCUGCAUUGGCUUCACUUUCCAGACCCGGAGGCCACGUCCACUUCUUUUGUGCGUUCCAUGUUUGGUGUCAUUUGGAAUAUAUUCAUGUUUUACGAAACAAAACAAAAGCCUCGUGGUUUUACCGAUACACUUGAUGAGUACUUGAUGUGUUGACUCUGCUCUUUAAAUAGUACAACUUUAAUUACACAACAUUCCUAUGUUAUCUACUUCAGUGUCUUUUUUUGUGUGAUUUUAAAUCUUCAAAUAAAGUUGAC